rnacentral:rRNA from 1 species
UACGGAGGAUCCGAGCGUUAUCCGGAUUUAUUGGGUUUAAAGGGUGCGCAGGCGGAAGAUUAAGUCGGUGGUGAAAUUUUGCAGCUCAACUGUAAAAGUGCCUUCGAAACUGGUUUCCUUGAGUGUAGAUGAAGUAGGCGGAAUUUGUGGUGUAGCGGUGAAAUGCAUAGAUAUCACGAGGAACUCCGAUUGCGCAGGCAGCUUACUAAACUACUACUGACGCUCAGGCACGAAGGCGUGGGGAUCAAACAGGAUUAGAUACCCUGGUA